GGCAGAAGAACCAAGAAUGCUACUCAUUCACCAAUAUUCGCCGCCGUUUCUAAAGAAGCUAUUAGUCACCUGUAGAGCAAGAAGGAAUCCUCAGAAGCCUCAACAAAAGCAAAACCAACAAUGAUGCGCAAGUCUACAAGGUAAAUUUUAGGGGAAUCUUGACUCAACCGACUACUAGUCAAAGAACACCACUGUUCCACUUACAGGGGCAAUUGGGGAAGAAUAAAAGGAGAAGAGGCAGACCCUAGAUGGCUUCUUAGUCUCUCAUAGCCGAAGGAGGUGGCCAAACAGAGGUGGCCGACUCUUAAACCCUCGGGGUGUCCUCUUCCCUCAAACCCAACAUCUGAAAUCCAUACCGCAGAGCCAAACUCGAAGUCAUAGCAAG
rnacentral:misc_RNA from 1 species